CUAAUGAAAAGAUAAGCAGCCGAACUGCUGGAGUGAUUGAUUAGGUCUCGUUUUUUUUUUUUUUUUUUUUUUUUGUCGCCUCUUGGGACACAUGUCGAGGGACGAAGAGGAGGGUGAAGGGUGCAGUUUCUAUCGCUGACGCCAGCGAAGAGAAAGCGUCAAGUUGUUUUCACGCGCGCGCGCUGAGGACAGUCAUGGCGAGUUACAUCAGGGAGCAGGAUGAGGAAAAAACGCUCAGAAACGACGACUGAGAUCUGAAAAGAAAAGUGCAAAGAGGAACGGAAAGGAUUGGCGCUGUGAAUACUUGACUUGUUUUUCUAAGGUGGGAGAUUCCUCCCCCUCCUCGCUCGCUCGCUGACAGCUCUGAUGUCCACCGUCUCUUUGCAACAGUGUGAAAUAAACGCACGCGCUGGACUGCGUGUUGCUAGGAAACAGUAACUUAACUGCUGCUAUCGGAGCGGCUCCGAGGCAAAACGGAGAGGAAAAUCCGCACGGUGGACCGGGCAGCUUCCGUGAAGAUGAUUCGCUGGCGACUGGAGCUGGCAGAGACGGAGGGAUUCACAGGACGAAACCAAAACCCGCUCCUUUUUAUAGGACCUCAAACCAAAUUUUUACGCAAAUUAAAAUGGACUGGACCUUGUCGUAGAACUCUGCUACAAGUGGACGAAAUCAUUAACGUCAAGUCUAACCUUAAAAGUCCCUGAUUAAAAAAUGACAAUAGAUGCUUUGGGAGUCCCAGACAGAAGGAAUUUAUGCGAGUGAAAGAAACCGAAGGGCAUCAGUUAACACUUUUACGAAAGCUAAAGUCGAGAAGAAAGAGAACUCGCACGAGGCAACCGAAGACGCGGCCGAAAGUUGCAAGUCCGAAAUUUGUCGUAACGCAACGGCAACCCAAGAAGACAGGAGUGACAGCAGCGUUUCCAGCAUCAACGUGAAAAUAAACUGCUCAGACGUCAGGAAAAUGGAGGAAAUACACUGCAGCUGUGAAUGAAAGCAGUCAAAAGUCCAUCUCUUCACACAUUUCAUCUGUGUUUCGUUGCUAAUUUCACUUCAGCAACCUAGAUGUCAACAUGUUUCUUUAAGGAACUCUAUUAAAAACUUUUCACAUUAA